rnacentral:rRNA from 1 species
GUCCUUUUGAUAUUUUUAUAAGGUCUAACCCGCCCCAUGGUUAAUUUUAAAUGGCCGCGGUAUUUUGACCGUGCAAAGGUAGCAUAAUCAUUAGUUUUUUAAUUGAAAGCUGGUAUGAAAGGUUGAAUAAAAAAAAAACUGUCUCUUAAAAAUUUUAAUUAGAAUUUUAUUUUUAAGUUAAAAAGCUUAAAUUUAAUUUAUAGACGAGAAGACCCUUUAGAGUUUUAUAUAAAAUUAAAUUUUUAAGUUUUAGAAUUAACAUAUAAAAUUUUAAUUUUAUAUUUGGUUGGGGKGAUUGAAAAAUUUAAUAAACUUUUUUUUUUAUUAUACAUUAAUAUAUGAAUAUUUGAUCCAUUAAUUAUGAUUAUAAGAUUAAAUUACCUAAGGGAUAACAGCGUUAUUUUUUUUAAGAGUUCAAAUCGAAAAAAAAGAUUGCGACCUCGAUGUUGGAUUAAAAUUAAAUUAGGGGGGAGAGGCUAUAAUUUUAGGCCGGUCCGACCUUUAAAAUUUUACA